AAAAAGGGCAGGCCUUGCCUAAGGCACAAAAUGGCGGUUCGUCCGUCGUUGUGGUGAAUCGCGAUCAAGAGAUUUGCCCUGCAUAAUUUGUGAGCAGCCGUUGGAAUGGGCCUGCUUGGCUAAUUCCAUCGGC
rnacentral:snRNA from 1 species